UAUAGCUCCCUUUUGCCAGAAUCACUGUUUAAUACACUCUUCCUGGGCGCGAGGAUUAAUUUUUGUCCCAUUUUUCAAAGCGGAGCUUUCACAAAUCUUGACAGUUAUCUCAAACUUUAUUCAAGUUCAUUAAGGCUAACUCCUCUUCCACUGGAUAAAUGCUUUCGUACUAGCUAAACCCUCUCAAAAUAUAUGUAUUUUCUGUAGUCGCAUUCAGAGAUCUAUGCUCAAUCGUACAUAUGGCUACCGCCUGAAUGAAAUUGUUCCGUUUAUUCUGUGUUGUAGUUUAACUGCUAAACUAUCACGCUCGGAUAAAACCAGUUCAAACCUGACCAACACCUUGGCGCUUCGCCCAUUCACCUUGUUGCAGUCUUUUACC